UAUUUGAAAUGCAGAGAGAGACAGAGAGAGGGAGAGAGGGGGAGGGAGAGAUCUUCCAUUUGCUGGUUUAUUCCCCAAAUGGCUGUAAUGGCUAAGGCUGGGCCAAGCCAAAGCCAGGAGAUAGGAACUCCAUCUAGGUCUCCAAUGUGGAUGACUGGGCCAUCUCCCAUUGCCUUCCCAGAGCAUUAGCAGGGAGCUGGAUCAUAGUGGACUGGAAAUUGGGACUGGAACUGGGAUGCCAGUAGUGCAGGUGGCAGCGUAGCCUGCUGCACCACAACACUGGCCCUAAAUUCAAGUUCCUUACUUUAUUUUUUUAUUUUCAUUUUUAAAAAGAUUUUAUUUAUUUAAGAGAUAGAGUUAUAGACAGAGAGAGGGAGAGACAGAGAGAAAGGUCUUAUAUCUGCUGGUUCAAUCCCCAAAUGACUGCAAUGGCUGAGCUGGGCCUAUCCGAAGCUAAGAACAAGGAGCUUCUUCUAGGUCUCCCAUGUGGUGUAGGGGCACUAGCACUUGAGGCAUCUUCCACUGCUUUCCCAGGCCAUCAGCAGGGAGCUAGAUUGGAAGUAGAGCAGCUGGGACUUAAACUGGUGCCCACAGGGGAUGCUGGCCCCACAGGCAGAAGCUUAGACUCCUAAGCCACAGCACCAGUCCCCAAGUUCCUUACUUUAAAUGGGAGCUUCUUUCAUAUUUCCAAGCGGGUUACUUCUGUGGGAUAGCUCCACAGACAUGAUCACCCUGUCAGAGCCUGUAAUUUUUUUCCCCUUUUGCCUUGAAUCCUCUCUCUCUCUCUCUCUCUCUUUUUUUUUUUUUUUGGACAGGCAAAGUGGACUGUGAGAGAGAGAGACAGAGAAGGGUCUUCCUUUGCCGUUGGUUCACCCUCCAAUAAGGCAGGAGCCAGGUGCUUCUGGUCUCCCAUGGGGUGCAGGGCCCAAGUACUUGGGCCAUCCUCCACUGCACUCCUGGGCCACAGCAGAGAGCUGGCCUGGCAGAAGGGGCAACCGGGACAGAAUCUGGUGCCCCGACCUGGACUAGAACCCGGUGUGCCGGCGCCGCAAGGCAGAGGAUUAGCCUGUUGAGCCACGGUGCCGGCCCUCUCUCUCUCUUUUUUUUUAACUUUGAACUGUCUUUAUUUAAAAAAAAAUUAAGAAAGCUUUUAUUUAAUGAAUACAAAUUUCAUAGGUACAGCUUUAGGAAUGUAGUGGUUCUUCCCCCCAUAGCCACCCUCCCACCCCUACUCCUAUCCCACCUCCUACUCCCUCUCCUAUCCCAUUCUUCAUUAAGAUUCGUUUUUAAUUAACUUUAUAUACAGAAGACCAACUCUAAGUAAAGAUUUCCACAAUUUGCACCCACACAGACACACAGUAUAAAGUACUGUUUGGAAACAAGUUUUAUAGUUAGUUCUCAUAGUUCAACUCAUUAAGGACAUGGGGAGUAAGUGCACAGUGACUCCUGUUGUUGAUUUAACAGUUGACACUCAUUUAUGAUGUCAGUGAUCAUCUGAGGCUCUUGUCAUGAGCUGCCCAGGCUAUGGAAGCCUUUUGAGUCCACAGUCUCCAUCAGUAUUUAGACAGGGUCGUUAGCAAAGUGGAACUUCUCUCCUUCAGAUGGAAGUACAUCCUUCUUUGAUGGCCCCUUCUUUUGGAUCCUCUCUUAAUUUGGUGACUUAUCAGACUGUCUUGGGCUGCUGGCACUUCCUGAAAUAACUGCAGACUAUUUGUUGAGUUACUUGUUCCCUUCUUUAUACCAAGUGAUUUAAUUUAACAAACAAAACAGAACAAAAUGAAAGGCAGCCCACCAAAGAAACUUCCCUGACACUGGCCCUUAAUUUUGGUGGUUUACUUUGGUCCUUAACAUUAAAGGGUAAUUCAGUUAGUAUUUGUUGUGUCAUGUGUAUGCAAAACAUGGCAAUAACUGGCACUGAAAGACAAGAAGACAGAUUUUAUUCUCAGGGUAGCCAGAGGGUUGAGUUAAAAGGGCAGCUGAGGGGCUGGCGCUGUGCUCUAGUUGGUUAAGCUGCCGCUUCAGCGCUGGCGUCCUAUAUGCUCACUGAUUUGGUUCAUAGCUGCUCCACUUCUGAUCCAGCUCCCUCUACUGCACCUGGGAAAGCAGCAGAAAAUGGCCCAAGUGUUUUGGGCCCUUGCACCCCAUGUGGCAGAUGUGGAAGAAGCUACUGGCUUUGGCCUGGCCCAUCCAUGGUUAUUGCAACCAUCUGGGGAAUGAACCAGCAGAUGGAAGAUUGAUCUCUAUCUCUCCCUCUCUCUAACUCUUUCAAAUAAAUUUAAAUCUUUUAUUUAUUUAUUUAAAGAUCUAUUUGAAAGUCAGAGUUACACAGAGAGAGGAGAGGUAGAGAGAGAAAGAGAGAGAGAGAGAGAGAGAGAGAGAGAGAGGUGUCUUCCAUCUGAUGGUUCACUCCCCAAUUGGCUGCAACGGCUGGAGCUGUGCUGAUCCGAAGCUGGGAGCCAGGAGCUUCUUCGGAGUCCCCCAUAUGGGUGCAGGGGCCCCAGGACUUGGGCUAUCUUCUACUGCUUUCCCAGGCCGUAGCAGAGAUCUGGAUCAGAAGUGGAGCAGCUGGGUCUCGAACUGGCGCCCAUAAAGGAUGCUGGCUCUUCAGGCCAGGGCAUUAACCCACUGCGCCACAGUGCUGGCCCCAUAAAUAAAUAAAUCUUUUAAAACAAUACAAAACAAAAAGCAGAAGGAAAACCCAUUUAUAAUCCUGCCAUUCAGAAGCAAUAGUUGUCUACCUUUGUAUUUUUAAAUAAUUGAGAUAAGAUUACACUAUUUUGUCCCCCACUCCAAUUAUCAUAAGCACUUUUUCAUCAUUAAGAACUAUUGGUAAGCAUCAAUUUUUUUUUUUGUUUAAAGGUUUAUUUAUUUAUUUGAAAGAGUUACACUCAGAGAAAAGGAGAGGCAGAGAGAGAGAGAGGUCUUCCAUCCGCUGGUUCAGCCAGAGCUGCGCUGAUCUGAAGCCAGGAGCCAGGAGUCUCUUCCGGGUCUCCUACGCCGGUGCAGGGGCCCAAGAGCUUGGGCCAUCCUCUUCUGCUUUACCAGGCUGUAGCAGAGAACUGGAUCGGAAGUGGAGCAUCCGGGACCUGAAUGGGCGCACACAUGGGGUGCUGGCACUGCAGGCAGUGGCUUUACCUGCUGCACCACAGCGCCAGCCACAUGUACUAAUCUUUUUAAAGUGUUGCUUAUGGAAAAUUUCAAACAUUAACAGAAGGAGAAAGAAUAGUAUAAUGAGCCCUGUCAACCUGUUCCAGCUCAAAAAGUUAUCAACUAAUGGCCAGUCUUGCAUCUGUGUACUUUCUUGUGCUUCCCCUUUCUUCCUGGAUUUUGAAGCAAAUCCUGAAAUACUGCCAUUUCAUUGUACAUAUUUCGGAUGUAUCUUUAAAUAGAUGAGAAUUCGUUUUCAAAGAAACAUAGCCACAGUACCAUUAUUUUACCUAAAGCAUUUAACAGUAAUUUAUUAAUAUCAUUAAAUGUCAAGUCAGUGUUAAACUUUCCCCAUUGUCAUACUUUAAUCAUUUAAUUAUUUGAAUUAGAGUCUAAAGUCCAUGCAUUGUAACUGCUGCCUCAAGUGAAUUUUUUUUUUUUUUUUUUUUUUUUUUUUUGGUUUAAAUGUGUUUGUUUUCAAACUACAGGCUUUGCCUUCUUUCUCUUUCAAAUUUGUUGAGGAAGCACAUUGGCCAUUUCUUUGUAUGCUUUGACUGGAAUUCCUUCACCAACUUAUAAUUUCCCGUUUUGGUUUGCCUUUUUUAAAGCUGAAGAGGGGACUGGUAUUGUGGCACAGCAGGUUGAGCCGCUAUGCAUGAUGCCAGCAUCCCAUAUGAGAGCUCCAGUUUCAGUCCUGGCUCCUCCGCUUCAGAUUCUGCUUCCUGCUAAUGUGCCUGGGAAAGCAGAGGAAGAUGGCCCCAACUACCUGAGCCCCUACUACCCAGUUGGGAGACCCGGAGAGAGUUCCUGGCUCCUGGCUUUGCCUGGUUGUUGCCCUUUGGAGAGUCAACCAGUGGAUGGAAGAUCUCUUUCUCUCUAUAUCUGCCUUUUUCUAUCACUCUGCCUUUUUGUAAAUCAAAAGAGGAAUUUAAAGGCAUUUUGAAGCAAUGUGAAUUCCAAAUCCUUCUUGAUUUCUAUGAUCCCUAUUCCCUCAAUCCUUUACAAUUGUCUCAUCCACAGCUAAUCUGAUUUACCAAGUUUUUUUGAUCAUUCAACUUAGUUUUCAUGGAAACAUGCCUUUCUUUUCUUUCUUUCACUAGUUUACAUGAUGUUUAAUUAUGUAAGUGGUAUAGUAAGAGCAACUAGUCUCAGUAGAUUUGUGAAAAAAUAAUUAAGCAUGCAACAUAGUAAUGGGAACAGAAAUUUCCAGGAAUAAGAGAUAGUAGCUGGGGCCGGCGAUGUGGCGUAGUGGGUAAAGCCGCCGCCUGAGGUGCUGGCAUCCCAUAUGGGUGCUGGUUGGAGUCCCUGCUGCUCCACUUCCAAUCCAGCUCUCUGCUAUGCCCUGGGAAAGCAGACCUGCACCCGCGUGGAAGCACCCAAAGGAAGCUCCUGGCUCCUGGCAUUGGAUCGGCGCAGCUCCAGCCAUUGUGGCCAACUGGGGACUGAACCAGAGGAGGACCUCUCUUUCUCUCUCUCUCUCUCUCUCUCUCUCUGCCUCUCCUCUCUCUGUGUAACUCUGACUUUCAAAUAAAUAAAUAAAUCUUUUUUUAAAAAAAAGAGACAGUAGCUAUUAGUUGGGACCAGUCUUCAUGUUUGGGGCAUAAGUUGUUUUAUAGAGAGAAGGGGAAGCAUUGAUUAUUUUGGCAGGUUACUUCAGCGGAGGUGGGUGACGGAAGCUGCUGCGUUAAUUCAAAAUGACAAAUAAGCCAAAGUGGUUAGAAAUUUGAGAACAAGAUAUUUUGUGGGAGUUUUUAUUAUUUGUUAUGUUUACUUCAGGGUAGUAUUUUUGUCACUUUUGUUAGAGUUUGCAUGCGCCGAACUGAAUUUGAUAAUGGGCCAGUGAUGUUAAAACUUGGUGAGGAAGCAGCCCAAACUCUAGUUUAAAAGGCUUAUGUCUGUUCACUGCCAGUAUAUUGUUCUGUGGAACAAGCUGACAUUUUCAUGUAGUAAGUUGUUUUCUGUUUCUGGCAGAAGAAAUCUUGGUUCACAUGCCACGAGAAACAGAAUUGUUUUUAUUGUGGAAGGCAGAAGCAGAGCUGUGUGUUUCUUAUUAGGGUUCGUUGGGCACCUGCAGGAUUUCUUCUCUUUUUCUGCUUCCUGCCUCCUGUUGUCCUUUCCUUCUGUCAGAAUGUUCUAAUGUUGCAUAAGCAAUGUUCUGACAAUAGAUGAGGUUUUUUAGUAGCUCAUUUUUUUUAACCCUCACAAUAAUGUUUUUAGUGAUUGCGUGUUCUUGGCUUACUUUCCAUUUCUACAUCAACAGUGAUAUUGUUAUUCUAGUCAAAUGGGGUAGUUGUAUUCUGGUAAUGAUCUUUGUGCUCAAGGCAGCUGCAGAAGCACCACUUUUGUAUAUUAUACUUAGACAUCUUAUAUGUGUUUAGUAAACCUAGGACAUAAUUAAAUGUUGGGGUAGAACUUUUGAAUCUCUUUAAAGGAUUUUACAAUCUUAAGGGAUAAAAUGACUUGUUUGAAGCAUGUUACUCAUUGGCCUUUGACAUAUGCAGGCGAGUAGCAUGUGAUUUCAGACUGCUGCCUCUUCGGAUCUCUUUUUCCUGGUUCCUAUUGAGUCAACAGCUGCAUCCAGUGCCCUGCUCUUAUUGAGCUCUUAGUAAAAGGGGGCACUGUUAAUACUGAGUCACAGCCUCUUAUAGCAUUUUGGUGGUUGUUAGACAUUUAGGCUAAGAAUCCAUUUUGGAGUCACAUUAAAUUUUAAAAACUGCAUUUCAGUGAUGCUACCUAAAUAUUUCCUCCUUUUCUUAAUGCUUUUGCUAGGGUUUUUUUUUUUUUUUUUUUUUUUUUUUUGCUUUUCUAGCUCUCUGGUGAACCUUUUUGGUCCAACCCAGCUGUCUGAUACAAUCUGUAGUAAUGACUAAGCACUGUUUAGGAGUCAGGGGAUGUGUUUCUAGUUCCAGUUUUUACAGCUGAGCAGUUUGCCUUUGUGUAAAUCACUUAACCUCAUGGAGCUUCCAGUUUCUUUUUUUAUUUAUUUGCGUUUCAACUGCUUUAUUGAGGUACAGUUCAUAAACCAUGUAAUUCACCUUAUUUAAUUUUUGCUUUAGUAUAUUUGGAGUUAUGCAAGUACAAUGCAAUAAAUUUUAGAAUGUUUUUGUUCCUCUUGAAAGAAACACUAGGGGUAGGUGUUUGGCUAGUGGUUAAGUUUGAUCACUGAUUGAGACAUAUGCGUCCCAUAUUAGAGUGCCUGGGUUUGAUGUCUGCCUCUGGUUUCUGAUUCCAGCUUCCUGCUAAUGUGAACUCUGGGAAGUACCAGGUGAUGGCUCAAAUAACUGGGUCCCUGCCAAUCCAAGUGGGAGACCUGGAUUGAGUUCCUGGCCCCCAGCUUUGUCCUUGGCCCAGCCCUGACUGUUGUGGAUUGGAGCUGUCAGUCUGUGUUUCUCUGUCUCUCAAAAACAAAAACAAACAGGAAAAGAAGAAAUGCUAUACCCAAGCUCAUUUCUUCAACCUCUCUCCCCCAUCCUUCAGCAACCACUAGUAAAUCUUUGUAUAGAUUUGCCUAUUCCGGACAUUUCCUAUAAAUGGACUCAUACAGUAUGUGGUCUUUUGCUUCUGGAUUUGUCAUUUAGCAUGAUAUCUUUUUUUUUUUAAAGUUUUAUUUUAUUUAUUUGAAAGGCAGAAUUAUGGGGUGGAAGGAGAUGUCUACCAUCCCUCAUUCACUUCCCAAAUGACUGCAAUGGCUAGGGCUGGGCCAGGCUGAAACCAGGAGCUAGGGACUUUUUUCAGGUCUCCCACGUGGGUGCGUAGGCCUGGGCACUUGGGCCAUCUUCUGCUCUUUCCCAGGCUCAUUUUCUGGGAGCUGGAUUGGAAGUGAAGCAGCUGGGACUCGAACUAUUGUCCAUAUGGGAUGCUGGUGCCACCGGUGAUGGCUUUACUUAAUAUGCCACAAUGCAGGCCCCUACCAUGAUAUUUUUAAGGUUCAUUGAUGUAGAAUAUGUUUGAAUUUCAUUCUUUUUAUUGACUGACUGAUAUUCUGUUGUGUGGAUAUACCACACUUUGUUUAUCCAUUCAUGAACUAGUUGACAUUUGUGUGGUUUGCACCUUUUGGCUCUUAAGAAUAAUGCUUUUGUGAACAUUUCAUGUAUAAAUUUUUUGUGUAAUGGUAUGUUUUCAUUUUUCUUGGGUAUUCAUCUAGGAAUGGAAUUGUUUGGGCAUGUGGUAACUACAUGUUUAACUUUUUGAGGAACUACCAAGGUAUUUUCCAGAGGGGCUGCUCCACUUUAUUUUUCCAUUAGCAGAAGUAGGGAGUUCUAGUUUCUCCACAUCCGAAUCUUAUUUUCUUUGUAAUUUAGCCAUCUUAGUGGAUAUGAAGUGGUAUCACAUUGUGGUUUUGCAUUUUGCAUUUCCCUAAAUGACUGAUGGUGUUAAUUAUCUUUUCAUGUGCUGACUUAACCAUUUGUAUAUCUCCUUCAGAAAAAUGUCUGUCUGCAUCCUUUGCUGGUUUUGAAAAUUGGGUUAUUUAUCUUUAUUGUUGUGUUGUAAGAGUUCUUUAUGUUUUGCAUAGGAAUUCCUUGCUACAUAUAUGAGUGCAACUAUUUUAUUCCAUUCCACGGUUUGUCAUUUCACUUCCUUGAUAGUUUUGUUUGUGGCACAAAAUUUUAAAGUUUUGCUUCUGUAGUUUCUGAGUUUGUGCAGGAAUUUGUGCAGAAACUCUGAAAUUAUGUGAUCUAUUGUUUGUUUUCCUCUGUGUUCAUUCUGUGCCUUUGUUGCAUUUUCAUAUAGUUUUCCUGACUUCAAAGACUCUAAAAACAUCUAUGUAUGUGUCUAUUUAUCUGAUAUAUGGGUCUUUUUUUCAAAAGAGAUUUAUUUAUUUAUUUGAAAGGAAAAGUUACAGAAAGGAAGAGGCAGAGAAAGAGAGAGAGACAGAGAGAGAGAGAGAGAGAGGUCUUCCAUUUGCUGGUUCACUCCCUAGUUGGCCGCAAUGGCUGGAGCUGGGCCAAUCUGAAGCCAGGAGCCAGGAGUCUCUUCCUGGUCUCCCACGUGGGUGCAGGGUCCCUAGGACUUGGGCCAUCUUCUACUGCAUUCCCAGGCCAUAGCAGAGAGCUGGAUUGGCAGUGGAGCAGCUGGAACUUGAAAUGGUACCCAUAGGGGAUGCCGGCACUGCAGGUGGCAGUUUUACCCACUAAGCCACAGCAACAGCCCCAUAUGUGUCUUUUAAAAUAAUUAAACUUUAUAAAAUAUAUAUCAAAGAAAGUGGAAGUUCCCUUUUGCCAGAAAAAGUAUCGUUAACAUUUUAUAACCAGAAUUUUUCUCAUUCUUAACAUUGUAUGUUGAUUAUUAAAAAGUGAUCAUGCCACACAUCCAGUUUACUACUGUUUUUUCAUUUAACACAUAUCCAGCAUUAUUCCAUGUCAGUACAUUUUGUCCUAAAUUAGAUCACAUUAAAAAAAAAAUUAUUUAGGUGGCCUGCCCUGUGGCUCAGCUGUUUAAGUCUCCACUUGCUAUACUGGCAUUCUGUAUCUGAGUGCCAGUUUGAGUCCCAGCUGCUUUGCUUCUGAUCCAGCUUGCUGCUGACAUACCUGGGAAGGCGGUAGAAGAUGGCCUAAAUACUUGGGCCCCUGCCACCCAUGUGGGUGACCUGAUGGAGUUUGUGCUCCUUGUUGCAGUCAUUUAGGGAGCCAAUCGUCAGAUGGAAGAUUUCUCUCUGUCUUUCCCUCUCUCUCAUAAAUCUUAAUUUUCAUUAUUUGAAAGGCAGCUUGACAGAGAGAGAGAGAGAGAGAGAGAGAGAGAAAGGGAAAGAUCUUCCAUCCAUUGGUUCACUCCCCAAAUGCCUGCAAUAGCCAGGGCUGGCCAAGCUAGAGCUGGGAGCCAGAAACUCCAUCCUGGUCUGUCAUGUGGGUUGCAGGGGUCCAAGCAUUUGAGCCAUCACUGUUGCCUUCCAGGAUGCUUUAGCAGAAAGUUGGAUUAGAAGUGAAGGAUGGGCCAGUGCUGUGGUGUGGUGGGUAAAGCCGCCGCCUGCAGUGCCAGCGUCCCAUAUAGGCACUGGUUUGUGUUCCGGCUGCUCCUCUUCCGAUCCAGCUCUCUGCUAUGGCCUGGGAAAGCAGUAGAUGGCCCAAAUCCUUGGGCCCCUGUGCCUGCAUGGGAGACCCAGAAGAAGCUCCUGGCUCCUGGUUUCAGGUCGACCCAGCUCCGGCUGUUGUGGCCAACUGUGGAGUGAACCAGCGGAUGGAAGACCUUUCUCUCUCUCUCUCUCUCUCUCUCUCUCUCUCUGCUUUUUCAUCUCUCUCUGUGUAACUCUGACUUUCAAGUAAAUAAAUAAAUCUUAAAAAAAAAAAAAAAAAAAAGAAGUGAAAGCCAGACUCAAGACUCAAACCAGGCACGCUCAUAUGGGAUGUGGGCAUCCCAAAGGAUAGCUUAACCCGCUGUGCCACAGUGCCCUCCCCUAGUUGGAUAAUUUUAAUGGCUACAGAGGAUUCUGUUUUAUGGAGGUAGUAUAGUUUAUUUAAUAGUAUCCUGUUGGUAAAUUUUAGAGUUGUUUCAGGUUUUUUAAAAUUACAAAUAUAUGUCAGCUAAUGUUUCUGUACACUUAUAGUUUGCACACUUGUGCUAGUGUUUCUUUCUUUUUUAUUUUUUUAAAGGUUUAUUUAUUUGAAAGUUAGAGUUACACAGAGAGAGGAGAGGUAGAGAGAGAGGUCCUCCAUCUGAUGGUUCAUUCCCCAAUUGGCCGCAAUGACUGGAGCCGUGCCGAUCCGAAGCCAGAUGCCAGGAGCUUCCUCCAGGUCUCCCAUGCAGGUUCAGGGGCCCAAGGAGUUGGGCUAUCCUUCACUGCUUUCCCAGGCCAUAGCAGAGAGCUGGAUCGGAAGAGGAGCAGCCAGGUCUCGAACCGGCGCCCGUAUGGGAUGCUAGCUCUUCAGGCCAGGGUGUUAACCUGCUGUGCCACAGCGCUGCCCACAUUCUUUUUUUUUUACAGGCAGAGUGGACAGUGAGAGAGAGAGAGACAGAGAGAAAGGUCUUCCUUUGCCGUUGGUUCACCCUUCAAUGGCCGCCGCGGCCGGCGCACUGCGCUGAUCCAAUGGCAGGAGCCAGGUGCUUCUCCUGGUCUCCCAUGGGGUGCAGGGCCCAAGCACCUGGGCCAUCCUCCACUGCACUCCCUGGCCACAGCAGAGGGCUGGCCUGGAAGAGGGGCAACCGGGACAGAAUCCGGCGCCCCGACCGGGACUAGAACCCGGUGUGCCGGCACCGCAAGGCGGAGGAUUAGCCUAGUGAGCUGCGGUGCCAGCCCCCAUUUCUUUCUUUCUUUCUUUCUUUCUUUCUUUCUUUCUUUCUUUCUUUCUUUCUUUCUUUCUUUCUUUCUUUCUUUCUUUCUUUCUUUCUUUCUUUCUUUCUUUCUUUCUUUUUAAAGGAUUUUAUUUAUUUAUUUGAGGUAAAGUUGCAUAUAGAGAGAGUGAGAGACAGAGAGAAACAUCUUCUUCCAUCCUCUGGUUCACUCCCCAGAUGGCUGCAACAGCUGGAACUGAGCAGAUCCAAAGCCAGGAGCCAGGAGCUUCUUCCAGGUCUCCUAUGAGAGUGCAGGAAUCCAAGGACUUGGGCCAUCUUCUGCUGCUUUCCCAGGCCAUAGCAGAGCUGGAUCAGAAGUGGAGCAGCCAGGACACAAACUGGCUCAUGUGGAAUUCUGGCACCGCUAGCCUAGGCUUAGCCCACUUAGCCACAGCCCUGACCCGCUAGUGUUUCUUCUCUAUUCCGUUUGUUUCCUGUUGUACUAUUUACUAUUUGGAUGACUCUUAAGUCUUAGAUUUUUUUGAAAUUUUAAAAAAUCCAAGAGUUUUAUUAUAUCUGACCCCCCCAGAGUAAACCCUCAAAGUAAUGUAUCCAUCAUGAUAUAUGCAAUCUUAGGAUCUUCUUUAGAAGAUAGAUCCUUCAGUUUCUCAGUAAUUGUAAAGAAUAAUUUACCAUAAAUCUAAUGCCUGGAUCAAAAAAAUGAAUGAGUGCUUAAAGUUUUGAUGCUGCCAAAUUUCUCUCUGAAUAAGGCCAUGCUAAUUCGCUCAAAAGUGUAUGACAGGGCUUUUUCUGUUUUCUUUCGUGCUGGCAACUUGUCAUUUUAGGAAGUUCAUCUGACAGGUGGGAAAAAGAUGUCAUUUUAGUUUGUCAUUUUUUACUGCACUUAAACAUAAUUUAAUUUGUUGAUUUUUUUUUGUUAGAAUUUUCUGUGUACUUUUAUUGGGCUUUUGGCUUUUUCUUAUUAACUGUAAUAGCUUUUGGAAUAUCAGGGAAGUUAAUUAUCUUUUAAAGCAUAUUACAGGCUAGUGCCAUGGCUUACUUGGCUAAUCCUCUGCCUGCGGCGCCGGCACCCCGGGUUCUAGUCCCGGUUGGGGCGCUGAGUGCUAGUCCCGGUUGCUCCUCUUCCAGUCCAGCUCUCUGCUGUGGCCCGGGAGGGCAGUGGAGGAUGGCCCAAGUGCUUGGGCCUUGCACCCACAUGACAGACCAGGAGGAAGUACCCGGCUCCUGACUUCGGAUCCGUGCAGCGCCUGCCGUGGCAGCCACUGGGGAGUGAACCAACGGAAGGAAGACCUUUAUGUCUGUCUCCCUCUCACUGUCUAUAUCUGUCUCUCUCACUGUCUAACUCUGCCUGGCAAUAAAUAUUUUUAAAAAAGCAUAUUACAUAUAUUUUCCUAUGCUUGUCUUUGUGUGUGUGUAUAUGUGUGUGUAUAACACAGAAUGUGACCAUUUUUGUGUUUACAAUAUGUUUUUCUGUUGCUUUUUCUUUAUGACUUCUUGGUUUCUUAUACUCAUCUUUUUUUUUUUUUUUUUGACAGGCAGAGUGGACAGUGAGAGAGACAGACAGAGAGAGAAAGGUCUUCCUUUGCCGUUGGUUCACCCUCCAAUGGCCGCCGCUGCAGCCGGCGCACCGCGCUGAUCCGAUGGCAGGAGCCAGGAUCCAGGUGCUUUUCCUGGUCUCCCAUGGGGUGCAGGGCCCAAGCACCUGGGCCAUCCUCCACUGCACUCCCUGGCCAUAGCAGAGAGCUGGCCUGGAAGAGGGGCAACCGGGACAGAAUCCGGCGCCCCAACCGGGACUAGAACCCGGCGCCCCAACCGGGACUAGAACCCGGUGUGCCGGCGCCGCAAGGUGGAGGAUUAGCCUAUUGAGCCACGGCGCCGGCUAGAGAACCAAGUAUUUAUUAAUUUGAUUUGAUAAUAAUACAUGUAAAAUGUAUUCUUUGUUAUGUGCUUUUGUAUGGAGAGUAUAGCUUGACUUUGUAGCAUUUCAGUUCUUUUAACAUAAAUUAUUUACAUCUGCAGUAUCCUCAAGGUCUAUUUAGGACCAGAAUUAAUAUUUCUAUUAAAAGAAAGAUGUGGUAAUGAAGCAGGCAGAAUGAGUAAAAUCAAAGUGUGAGUAAAUCAAUGACAAAUCUAAGUUCAGAUCAGAUAUAUGGGUUUUGAGCGCCUUCUCACUUGUAUUAAAAGUAAUUGUUUUCCGUAUUCCUGGACUUCUUGUUUAUUUGUGGUAUUGUGUGGUACAUAUAGGAAUAAUGUUGGUUUUAGGCAUUUUCUCUUUUUGUAUUGUAAAAAUUUGUUUAUUUGGAAGGCAGGGUUACAGACAGAAAGGGAGAGAUCAGAAGUGGAACAGCUGGGACUUGAACUGGCACUCAUAUUGGAUACUGGCCCUGCAGGCUGAGGCAUUAACCCACUGUGCCACAGCGCUAGCCCUGAGAAUAUGUUUUUUAAUAGUCAUUAUUUUUUGUGUGGAUCUAUAGUUUUUUUUUUUAAGUAGGUCAGGACCCAAUACUUAUUUUAUCCCUAUCCCGUCAGACUGUUGGAUGUAGUUGUUUUAUUGCCAUUGACAAGUCUUCUCAAUGUUAAGUCCCCAGUUCAUGCUUCUAAUUGUCCCCCCCCGCCCCCCCUUUUUUUUUUAUUUUUUGACAGGCAGAGUGGACAGUGAGAGAGAGAGACAGAGAGAAAGGUCUUCCUUUGCCGUUGGUUCACCCUCCAAUGGCUGUUGCGGCCAGCGCGCUGUGCUGAUCCGAUGGCAGGAGCCAGGUACUUAUCCUGGUCUCCCAUGGGGUGCAGGGCCCAGGCACUUGGGCCAUCCUCCACUGCACUCCCGGGCCACAGCAGAGAGCUGGCCUGGAAGAGGGGCAACCGGGACAGAAUCCGGCGCCACGACCGACCGGGACUAGAACCCGGUGUGCCGGCGCCGCAAGGUGGAGGAUUAGCCUAGUGAGCUGUGGCGCCGGCGCUGCUUCUAAUUGUUAACCCUGUGUAUCUACCCAACUCUUAUUUGUAAAAUGGGAUGAUAAUUCUAGCCUUUUUUGAGAUUUUUUUUUAUAAGAGUGUCAAAACAUUUGAAAGCAUGUAAUGGGAGAUACCAUAAACAUCUUAGGGAACAAACAUGAUAAUUUUAUAGAUUUUUUUUCCAAAAUACCUUCUUAAUAUAUUCUUAAUUAACUUGAUUGUGGUAUAAUUUGCAUUCAAUAAAAUUGAACCAUUAAAAUGUAUUUAUUUAUUUGAAAAGCAGAGCAAGAGAGAGAGAGAUGUUCUGUCCACUGAUUCAUUUCCCAAAUGGCCAGGUCUUUUUUUUCCAUUCUGUGACUUAGCUUUAUAUUCUCUCAACAGUGACUUUUUUGUUAAAAAAAAAAAAAAAAGAGAUUUAUUUUAUGUAUUUGGAAAGUACAGUUAUGGGGUCAGGAAAUGCAUAGAGAAGAGAUCUUUCAUCUGCUGGUUCACUCUCCAAGUGGCUGCAAAAGCAGGGCUGGCCCAGGCUGAAGCCAGGAGCCAAGAGGUUCCUCCAGGUUUCCCACAUGGGUGCCGGGGCCCAAGCACUUGGAUCAUCUGCUGCUGCUUUCCUAGGUGCAUUAACAGGGAGCAAUGACUUUUGAAGAGCAAGAGUUUUUAUUUUGAAUUCCAGUUUGUUACUUUGUUCUCUUACCAAUUGUGCUUUUGAUGAUGUAUAUGAGAAAUCUUUGCUAUUUAUCUAUAGCUCAAGCAAAUAAAAACUGUCUUCCAGCUACUUUUUCAUGUACCUUGGGCAUCUUCAAUAUGUUUUUUAGUAAUCAUCAGAUUUUAAUAAUGUUUGAAAGAUAAAUAACUUAUGUGUGGUGAUAGUCACCCACAUCUAGAAAAAUCAUACAUUCUAGUGAAGCCCAACUCUUUGGUGUAUUGGUGUAUGGUGCUGGAAAUCAUAGUUUAUUGAUAGGAGUAAAAAUAUUAAAUUGGGGAAUGAAUUUCAUUUAAAUCAAUAUAUGAAAAUUAAUUUUAAAGUUGAAGAUAAUAGAGAAAGGAACUAUAUUCAUGUGAAAACAGCCAUUUAAAGUUUUGACAGACAUUAUCACUUUUUUUUUUUAAAGAUUUAUUUAUUUGAAAGGCAGAGUUACAGAGGGGCAGAGGCAGAGAGAAAGGAAAGAAAAGUCUUCCAUCUGUUUGUCCACACCCCAAAUGGCCACAACAUCUGGAGUUCUGCUGAUCCAAAGCCAGGAACCAGGAGCUUCUUCCCAUCUCCCACGUGGGUGCAGGGACCCAAGGACUUGGGCCAUCUUCUACUGCUUUCCCAGGCCAUAGCAGAGAGCUGGAUCAGAAGUGGAGCAGCCAGGAUUUGAACUGGUGCCCAUAUGGGAGGCUGGCACUGCAGGCGGCAGUUUUCUCACUAAGCCACAGCGCUGGCCCCAGACAUAUCACUUUUAUUAAACUCUUUUAUUUAGAAUAUUUUUGUGAUAUAUGUAUGUUUUCAUGCUUUCAAAUCAAAUAAAGUAUAAGGUAAAAUAUUUGUUUUCAUGGGUUAUUCUGAAGUUCAGUGGGUGUUCAUAAAAAAUGAAAAAUCCAUUUACUUCAUUAAUAAGAUAUGUUGUUUAGUGCUAUCACCUGAGACUUUUCAUUUUACUUUCUUUUUUUUUAAAAAAAUUUUUAUUUAUUUAUUUGAAUAGGGAGGGAGGAAAAGAGAGAAAGAAUGUUCUACCUCCUUAGAUGGCAGCAAGGGCCAGGGUCGGGCCAGGUCGAAGCCUGGAGGCUGGAACGGCAUCCCCAUUCCCCAUUUCAUUUGAGUGGUGAAUAAUUGGGAGCCAUUUUCCGCUGCUUUCCCAGACACAUUAGCAGAGAACUGAACCGGAAAUGGAGCAGCCAGUACUUGAACUGGUGUUCAUAUGGGAUGUUGGUGUUGCAGGUGGUCAUGCCAGAUCCUAUUUUGCUAUUUUUACAUAGUUUAUAGUUAAAGUUAAAAAUUCAGUUUUUACUCCUCCUUUAUUUGUUUAAAAGUUAACAUAGAGAGGGAGAGAGAGCUCUCAUCUGCUGAUUCACUCCCCAAAUGCCCCAAUGACCUGGGAUAGGUAGAGGUUAAAGUCAGGAGCUGGGAACUCAGUCUAUUACUUGGACCAUGACUGCAACCUCACAGGAUCUAUUUUAGCAGGAAACUGGAAUCAGGAGUCAAAGCUAGGAAUGGAACCAAGGCACUCAGGGAUGUGCAUGUCUUAGCCUCUAGUCUAAAUGCUCAUUCCACUUUUUUCAUUUUUUAAAGUAAUAAAGUAGCUUGGGAUUUAUCAGAGCAGGGCAGGAAGCCAAACCACAUCCUAUUUUGCAUUGGGCAAGAACCACUAGGGAAAACAAUUACUUUCUAGAGAUCAAUUCCUGAAUUUUAUCCAAGGUUUUUAGCAACUGAAAAUCAAUUACAGUUCAGAUAUAUUACUUACCUUUAAUAUUUUGAAUGUUUCAAGAGAACUUAAUUUGUAAGCCAUUUAGUUACUAAUUGUUCUGCCUAUACUCUGGGAAGAAUAUAAGUUUAGUUGAAGUUCUGCUUCAAGGUGUCUUUUAAAAAGGGUACCCUUAUAUACGUUAUAAAAGUUGACAAAUCUGGUUCUGGGUAGCAGUGAAUGAUUUUGAAGUCUGAUAACAUGCUAAAUUGUAUUUUUUGUUUCUAUUUUUUUAAAAGAUUUAUUCUAUUUGUUUGAAAGGCAGAGUUAAUAGAGAAGAGAGACAGAGAGAGUUAAAAACAAAGACAAAGACAAAGCCAGAGAGAUCUUCCAUCUACUGGUUCACUCCCAAAAUGGCCACAAUUGCCAGGAGUGGGUCAGGCUGAAGACAGGAACCAGGAACUUCUUCCGGGUCUCACACGUGCAGGGGCCCAAGGACUUGGACCAUCUUCUACUGCUUUCCCAGGCCAUGGCAGAGAGCUGGAUUGGAAGUGGAGAAGCUGGGACUCGAACCGGUGCCCAUAUAGGAUGUGGGCAUUGCAGGUGGUAGUGGCUUUACCUGUUAUGCCAUGAUGCUGACUUCCAUAUUUAUCUUUUUAAAAGUAAAAAGACCAUAGUUGAGCAGGAAAAUAGAAAAAGGCCACAAAUAAUAAUCAAAUACAAAGAUGUUCAACUUCAUUAUAUAGCACUUUAUAUACGUGUGAAUGUAUAUGUAACAUGAGUAUACUACUUGGUGUUUUUUCUUUUUUAAUUAAAGGCAAGUUUAAAAAAAUGCUCAUUGGGGGCUGGCAUUGUGACCUAAGCUGCCACCUACAACAUUGACAUCUCAUAUUGGAGUGCCAGUUUGAGUACUGGCUACUUUGCUUUGUUCCAGCUUCCCACUAAUGUGCCCCUGCCACCCAUCUUGGAGACCCAGAUGGAACUCCAGGCUCCUAGAUUUGGCCUGGCCCAACUCUAGCCAUUGCAGCUAUUUGAGAAAUGAACCAGUGGAUAGAAGAUCUCUCCAGCUUUGUCUUUUUCUUUGUCUUUUUCUUUCUUUCUCUCUAAACUCUGCCUUUCAAAUAAAUAAGUAAAUCUUAAAAAAAAAAAAAAAGAA